rnacentral:rRNA from 1 species
GACGAACGCUGGCGGCGUGCUUAACACAUGCAAGUCGAACGAAGUGGCGAACGGGUGAGUAACGCGUAAUCAACCUGCCCUUCAGAGGGGGACACCAGUUGGAAACGACUGCUAAUACCUCAUACUGCAGGUGGGGAUUGCGUUGGCUUAGCUAGUUGGAGGGGUAACGUCCCACCAAGGCGAUGAUCAGUAGCCGGGCUGAGAGGAUGAACGGCCACAUUGGGACGGGGACACGGCCCAGACUCCGACGGGAGGCAGCAGUGGGGAAUCUUCCGAAAUGGACGAAAGUCGGACGGAGGAAAGCCGCGUGAGUGAUGACGGCCUUCGGGUUGGAAAGCUAUGUUAAUCGGGACGCGGUACCGGAAUAGAAAGCCACGGCUAACUACGUGCCAGCAGCCGCGGUAAUAC